rnacentral:lncRNA from 1 species
CUUCUUUCCUGCCAGCUCGGAUUCGAGGAUUGGUUCUUUUGUGGUCGCACAGAAGAUUACCUAACUUGACUGCUUUUAUCUCAUAACUGAAGUCAUAUCCAGACUGGCACAGUUCGGGAUCGCGGUUUAUUUGUACCGAGGCAAUAUUUGCUUAGUACGGUGUGAGGGAAGGGAGCGGCUGCGAUCUCGUUUUGCCCUGUGGCUACCUCGUCUGUUUCAUGUCGAGGGUACCGGUUUGAAUGCGUGGGAAAAUGCUCCACUCAGUUUGUUGGCAUAGAUAAUGAAUAGUGUGACAUGACACAGGAUUCAGUUGAUUUAGGAAUACUUUUUCGGCUUGGUUGUUUUUCAGUUCUCGUACAUAGAAUCCAUGAAACGCGUGAGAGAUCCGCAGAUUCCAGUCUCCCAUGCUGACGUGGGUAUUCAACCUCAAUGAACAGGAAGUACGUUUUUUGCCGCUGGAAUAAUUGGAAAAAUAGAGUUUGCCUACAGGAUUAAGACCUACUUCUCCAUAGCGCCUUCUAUAGAAUGGGUCAAGAGCACGUAGACAUUUAUCGCGUGUCUUUACAAGCGCAUAUUUCACCGCAUACCUGAGCACGCGCUACUCGGCAUCAAUGUCUAAGCACAUUCAGCGGGCGCACAGAGAAAGGGAAUACGGUGAAGCGAUGAUGCCGCCCUUUGUAGCACUGCUCAUUCAGCUAAUGGUCAGCCCAGGUGCCAACAACUGACGCUUGCAUAUUGGGACAAACUCAACGGCCCACCUUUGAGAGACUGAGUAUUUGAGGAGUAGAAAUCGGCACUCAUGCUUCGCCUGGCAUGAACCUAUAGUUCCAGAAGGCCCGUGCUCAAUGUCAAACCUGAAACGUGCAUCUAGUUCUGGGAAUGGUAAAGAACUAUACGCCUAAACGGUACUUCGAGAACCACUUGAAAAUCAACUCUCAACAGGUAAGCGUCGGGACUACAGUAAGAAGAGGUUCCGAUGGUGAAUUGAUGCUUUUUCAACUAGAAUUGCGUGGCUGUCCUAAACGCGCGCAAAAAUGUGGCCAUCACGAGAUGUAUCACCGGCCACUGUGCCAGCGCCUAACAUAUGUGUAUUUGGUCCCGCUUGUCUCGCCGCUGAGUAGCGAGGAAUGCAUCAAUCCGCUGACGAGUGUAACAUCCGCACAAAGACAAUUUGGAGUUGUGAGGAAUGUGUCGGGGUGCACUAACAGCCCUUUUCAGUUUAGGCGGAGGGGACUCAGGACAUAGAACGCACGCAGACUACGUCGUGCCUUAGCAAACACGACAGUGUCCUUUCAGCAGGUACUCAGAAUUAUCACAUAUAAAGUGGAUUUCGGCAAGUGAGGGGUGGCAAAAAUAAAUGUUGAACCGUACUUUUCUGGAUAUCACAGCACGGGGCUGCCUCGUUGUUCAGGCGAUGCGUCGCUAUUGCACACGUGCAUACACACAUACGAGAGCCCGAGAGAGAGGCCAAAACUCAGGAACCUAUUGGAUGUACGAUGAGCUACCUAUCCGCCAUGUAUGGGGAAUAUGAAGUUCACCUCAGGCAGGAUUGUUGCUGUGGAGAGAGGCACGCCGUCAGUGUACUAAGAACCCCGCCUGGCUUCUUGUGGUCCUCCAUCACAAGGGAGCUGUUCUGAAAUUUUUUUGCUCCCGGGCGACUUUGCGAAAGAGGGUGCUGGAGCUAUUCACUGGAAAACAGUGCUGUGAUUCUGCCUGUCGUCGUACCAUCUUCCUGAUUCGGAGCUUCAAAUCAAUCGCAGCUUUACCGCUCAAGUGUCAAACGGGUCAGGCUCAAUUUGCUCGGUCGUGCUGUGGCUACUGUGAGAGUGACGUACCGGUGAUUAAGACUGGAGCCGUUGACGGAUGUUGUGCCGUGAUUCAGAUGAAGAAUGCUUCGAGCCUUGUACACAUCGCUUGCCACGUUGCUUCGAAUUAAAUUACAGGCUCCACCGGAGACAUUCGUACGUGUGACUAUGGCUACGAGAAGGACGAACACUCGUAGACGGCUGAGUGGAUCCACGAUACCUCCACAAGAAUGCGGAGCGGAAGAAACACGACUCUUGUAGCAAAGAAGUACUCAAUGGUUUUGUGUCGUUCCUAUCAGAAUGGUGCGAACACGACAGAACAACCAGGCUAAUAUCUACAUCGAAACCAGCUGGGCACUGUAAGCGUGCACAAGUUUACUGGAGCCCUUUCGACGAGCGUUGAAGCUGAAAAAGUAUCGAGUUGGGUUGUAAAAUGGUAAUGAAAAUGCAACUGUGAGUCACAAGGCCAGUGGUCUGUUCUUUGGAUUGUUACUCGUUGAGUAAAACAGCCGCACAUGCUAGCACUCUUCGUAAGACGUCCUUUUGGAGGUAGGGGGUCUCGCAGUACUAAUUAUCACUUUUGCAGUAUAGACCAAAUCAGGUCCCGCUAGUUUUGUUCCGGAAAUGGGUAGAACGUGCAUUUUCAAAUUGGCAUGGGAAGAUUGUAAGACGAUUUGGUGUCACUCCGUUAACACACCCAACCACAGUCUUUGAGAAGACACACGCCGUGACGUGUUGCUGCUAAAUCAAUGUUUUUUUCUAUGCAGAGACGCUUUCUUGAAAUACGUCCUCAAAUGCAAUAUCUUAGUGUCGGCAAUCUUUUACACAGCUUGUGUUCGUGUUCGAUGCCGCGGCGCAAGCCCCAAGCGCGUACUUACUGAUGAUGAACACUUCUCACGCAAUUGUUGAUUCACCAAUGAGAUUCGCCUUUCGGUAACUGAAGGGCAGCUACUAAAUCACCACUUCCCGUUGCUGGGAAAUGG